rnacentral:rRNA from 1 species
GACGUAGGGGGCAAGCGUUGUUCGGAAUUAUUGGGCGUAAAGAGCGUGUAGGCGGCCAAACAGGUCAGCUGUGAAAACUCGAGGCUCAACCUCGAGACGUCGGUUGAAACCGUUUGGCUAGAGUCCGGAAGAGGAGAGUGGAAUUCCCGGUGUAGCGGUGAAAUGCGCAGAUAUCGGGAAGAACACCCGUGGCGAAGGCGGCUCUCUGGGACGGUACUGACGCUGAGACGCGAAAGCGUGGGGGAGCGAACAGG